rnacentral:rRNA from 1 species
UACGAAGGGGGCUAGCGUUGCUCGGAAUGACUGGGCGUAAAGGGCGCGUAGGCGGAUGGCACAGUCAGAUGUGAAAAUUCCCCGGGCUUAACCUGGGGGCUGCAUUUGAUACGUGUUGUCUUGAGUUCGGAAGAGGGUCGUGGAAUUCCCAGUGUAGAGGUGAAAUUCGUAGAUAUUGGGAAGAACACCGGUGGCGAAGGCGGCGACCUGGUCCGACACUGACGCUGAGGCGCGAAAGCGUGGGGAGCAAACAGG